rnacentral:rRNA from 1 species
GGAAUUUGCCCAUUUGUGGGGGAUAACAGUUGGAAACGACUGCUAAUACCGCAUACGCCCUACGGGGGAAAGCAGGGGACCUUCGGGCCUUGCGCUGAUGGAUAAGCCCAGGUGGGAUUAGCUAGUAGGUGAGGUAAAGGCUCACCUAGGCGACGAUCCCUAGCUGGUCUGAGAGGAUGAUCAGCCACACUGGGACUGAGACACGGCCCAGACUCCUACGGGAGGCAGCAGUGGGGAAUAUUGCACAAUGGGGGAAACCCUGAUGCAGCCAUGCCGCGUGUGUGAAGAAGGCCUUCGGGUUGUAAAGCACUUUCAGCGAGGAGGAAAGGGUGUAAGUUAAUACCUUACAUCUGUGACGUUACUCGCAGAAGAAGCACCGGCUAACUCCGUGCCAGCAGCCGCGGUAAUACGG